GACGAACGCUGGCGGCGUGCCUAAUACAUGCAAGUCGAGCGGACCAAUUGAAGAGCUUGCUCUUUAUGAGGUUAGCGGCGGACGGGUGAGUAACACGUAGGUGAUCUGCCCAUCAGACGGGGACAACGAUUGGAAACGAUCGCUAAUACCGGAUAGGACGAAAGUUUAAAGGUGCUUCGGCACCACUGAUGGAUGAGCCUGCGGCGCAUUAGCUAGUUGGUAGGGUAAAGGCCUACCAAGGCGACGAUGCGUAGCCGACCUGAGAGGGUGAACGGCCACACUGGGACUGAGACACGGCCCAGACACCUACGGGUGGCAG
rnacentral:rRNA from 1 species